rnacentral:lncRNA from 1 species
AGGUAACCCACAGCUGCCGAUCUCACAGUCAGCUGGAACCUCAUAGAAAGUUUCCUUAGGAACGGAAGCUUGAAAGUAUCUCCUCUUGAAUUGACCGUAACUUUCAAAAAUUAAACAUGUGACCCUUUGAUCAAGCCAAAUCUACUUAAGAGAAGCUACUUUAUAAAAAUCCUUGUAUGAGCAGUUAAACAAGAUAGCUACAGGGAUGUUCACUGCCAUGUGAUUUGCAAUAGCAACAAAAGAAACAACUAUCUAAAUCUUUUAAUAGAAGAAUAAUAAAAACAAUUAAAAUGGAUCCAUAAAAUAGAACACUAUGCAGCCUUAAUGGAACAUGCUGCUGACUUUGAUAUGCUAACCUGGCAUACAUCUGUGAUACAUUGUUUAGGAAGAAAGUAGGAUGUAGAACAAUGUGCGAAGGAAGAGACGUAGAGAAGAAUGCCCAGAACAUGAGUGUACAGCUUGACGGAUUUUCACGAACUGAGCACAUCUAUUUUACUAGCAUCCAGAUCAAGAAAUGGGACACUAACAACAUCGCAGAAACCCCUUUCAUGAUCCCUACCAAUCACUACUGAUCUCCACCCCUGCCAAGUGUAUUCAGCAAAAUGCAGAUAAAGGACCAGAGGGCUGGACUUUCUUUUUGGUUGCCAGACAGUCUUUCUUUGGCCAAGUCCCUGCCUGCUCUGAGACUGGACCAAAUAGUGCCCAGCUUCAACAAGGAUGCAUGUACUCACCACCAACCUCCUUCUCUCCCCACCAGCCGCCACUCCCCUUCCGCCAGCUCUGAUUUCUGCAGCUUCUGAGACUGGAUGCAGCUGAUGAGGAAGUUUUAGAAGUGGUAGAGCCACGGGAUAAAGGAGUCCGAUUCCUGAAUCACCAUGUGGAGGGGAGGGGAGUCACCCAAUGACAAG